AAUAUACUCCCUCCGUUCCGAAUUACUUGUCUUGAAUUUGUCUAGAUACGAAUGUAUCUAGACUCAUUUUAGUGCUAGAUACCUCCGUAUCUAGACAAAUCUAAGACAAGUAAUUCGAAACGGAGGGAGUACAAG
rnacentral:pre_miRNA from 1 species